rnacentral:rRNA from 1 species
AGUAGCGGCGAGUGAAGCGGCAAUAGCUCAAAUUUGAAAUCUGGCACUUUCAGUGUCCGAGUUGUAAUUUGAAGAAGGUAUCUUUGGGUCUAGCUCUUGUCUAUGUUUCUUGGAACAGAACGUCACAGAGGGUGAGAAUCCCGUGCGAUGAGAUGUCUAGAUCUAUGUAAAGUUCCUUCGAAGAGUCGAGUUGUUUGGGAAUGCAGCUCUAAGUGGGUGGUAAAUUCCAUCUAAAGCUAAAUAUUGGCGAGAGACCGAUAGCGAACAAGUACAGUGAUGGAAAGAUGAAAAGAACUUUGAAAAGAGAGUGAAAAAGUACGUGAAAUUGUUGAAAGGGAAGGGCUUGAGAUCAGACUUGGUAUUUUGUAUGUUACUCUCUCGGGGGUGGCCUCUACAGUUUACCGGGCCAGCAUCAGUUUGAGCGGUAGGAGAAUUGCGUAGGAAUGUGGCUCGGCCUCGGUCGAGUGUUAUAGCCUUCGUCGAUACUGCCAGCUUAGACUGAGGACUGCG